rnacentral:rRNA from 1 species
UGGGGAAUUUUGGACAAUGGGGGAAACCCUGAUCCAGCCAUCCCGCGUGUGCGAUGAAGGCCUUCGGGUUGUAAAGCACUUUUGGCAGGAAAGAAACGUCGCGGGUUAAUACCCCGCGAAACUGACGGUACCUGCAGAAUAAGCACCGGCUAACUACGUGCCAGCAGCCGCGGUAAUACGUAGGGUGCAAGCGUUAAUCGGAAUUACUGGGCGUAAAGCGUGCGCAGGCGGUUCGGAAAGAAAGAUGUGAAAUCCCAGAGCUUAACUUUGGAACUGCAUUUUUAACUACCGGGCUAGAGUGUGUCAGAGGGAGGUGGAAUUCCGCGUGUAGCAGUGAAAUGCGUAGAUAUGCGGAGGAACACCGAUGGCGAAGGCAGCCUCCUGGGAUAACACUGACGCUCAUGCACGAAAGCGUGGGGAGCAAACAGGAUUAGAUACCCUGGUAGUCCACGCCCUAAACGAUGUCAACUAGCUGUUGGGGCCUUCGGGCCUUGGUAGCGCAGCUAACGCGUGAAGUUGACCGCCUGGGGAGUACGGUCGCAAGAUUAAAACUUAAAUGAAUCGACGGGGUCAUAGCUG